rnacentral:rRNA from 1 species
AGCGAACGCUGGCGGCAGGCCUAACACAUGCAAGUCGAACGAACCUUUCGGGGUUAUUGUCGGCCGGGGGAGUAACCGGAGGGAAGGUGCAUUUGGGUUCGGAAUAACUAAGGGAAACUUGUGCUAUUACGAAAUGGGCCCUUCGGGGGAAUGAUAAAUCGCCUUUAGUGGGGCCGGCGUCUGAUUAGCUAGUUGUUUGAGGUAAUGGCUCACCAAGGCGACGAUCAGUAGCUGGUCUGGGAGGAGGAUCAGCCACAUUGGGACUGAGACACGGCCCAAACUCCUACGGGAGGCAGCAGUGGGGAAUCUUGCGCAAUGGGCGAAAGCCUGACGCAGCCAUGCCGCGUGAAUGAUGAAGGUCUUAGGAUUGUAAAAUGCUUUCACCGGGGACGAUAAUGACGGUACCCGGAGAAGAAGCCCCGGCUAACUUCGUG